CAUCGAUGAAGAACGCAGCGAAAUGCGAUAAGUAGUGUGAAUUGCAGAAUUCAGUGAAUCAUCGAAUCUUUGAACGCACAUUGCGCCCCUUGGUAUUCCAUGGGGCAUGCCUGUUCGAGCGUCAUCUAAGCCCUCAAGCCCUAUGGGUGUUGUUCCGCCUUGUGCGCGACCUUCGCCUGGCUCGGUGUUGGGUGCCUGUCCCUGCUCUCCGCGCGGACUCACCCCAAAUGCAUUGGCAGCAGCCCCUCGGCUUCUCGCGCAGCACAUUGCGCAGCGGAGCGUGAGAGGCGUGCGUCCAGCAAGCAACCCCCCAAGUUUGACCUCGGAUCAGGUAGGGAUACCCGCUGAACUUAAGCAUAUCAAUAAGCGGAGGAA
rnacentral:rRNA from 1 species